rnacentral:rRNA from 1 species
CAGGAUUAGAUACCCUGGUAGUUCACGCCGUAAACGAUGUCGACUUGGAGGCUGUUCCCCUGAGGAGUGGCUUCCGGAGCUAACGCGUUAAGUCGACCGCCUGGGGAGUACGGCCGCAAGGUUAAAACUCAAAUGAAUUGACGGGGGCCCGCACAAGCGGUGGAGCAUGUGGUUUAAUUCGAUGCAACGCGAAGAACCUUACCUACUCUUGACAUCCACGGAAUUUGGCAGAGAUGCCUUAGUGCCUUCGGGAACCGUGAGACAGGUGCUGCAUGGCUGUCGUCAGCUCGUGUUGUGAAAUGUUGGGUUAAGUCCCGCAACGAGCGCAACCCUUAUCCUUUGUUGCCAGCGAUUCGGUCGGGAACUCAAAGGAGACUGCCGGUGAUAAACCGGAGGAAGGUGGGGAUGACGUCAAGUCAUCAUGGCCCUUACGAGUAGGGCUACACACGUGCUACAAUGGCGCAUACAAAGAGAAGCGACCUCGCGAGAGCAAGCGGACCUCAUAAAGUGCGUCGUAGUCCGGAUCGGAGUCUGCAACUCGACUCCGUGAAGUCGGAAUCGCUAGUAAUCGUGGAUCAGAAUGCCACGGUGAAUACGUUCCCGGGCCUUGUACACACCGCCCGUCACACCAUGGGAGUGGGUUGCAAAAGAAGUAGGUAGCUUAACCUUCGGGAGGGCGCUUACCACUUUGUGAUUCAUGACUGGGGUGAAGUCGUAACAAGGUAACAUCU